UUUUUUUUUUUUGCGUACUUGGAAAAUGUAAAUUUUGACAGUUCCAUCGAGUAAAAGAAAAGAGAGAUGUACUAUGACUGCGAGAAUACAACCAAUGCCACUGCUCUUUCUUGUACUUCUAGUCCUAUGAAAUGAUUUUAAAUAUAUAUGUAUUGAGAAGUUUUUACACAAAGGAUAUAUCUGCCUAUUGGAAACCAUCGUUACCAUUAUUAGCUAACAAAAUCCUGAAUUUCGGAUCAUGCAUGUGUCUUCUUGCCCCUUGGUAGCUGAUGCUGCCAUUUCGCAUAUACUCUAAAGCUUAAUACGGGUAAAAGAAGAACGGCAUUUUAAGGUUAAAGUGAAACCAGCAAAACCGCAACUCGAAAUACUGAUGAUUUACGGAAAGAUAGAGACUAAUUUCAGGUGAAAAGCACAAGAAAUCAGAUGAAUUAGCCAAAGCAUUGUUGCAUCCUUUGGUAUCUCUGGUCGUCGUCACUUCUCCUCCCCUGGCGCGUGCAGCAUAGCUAUAUUUCAGCGUACACAACUCUCCUCAGGCGGACAGCGCUUAGCCAGGUAGCAGUAGAGCCCAACGGCGUAGGCUGCGGCGGCGACCCAAGCCAAGAUCGCGUGAGGCAGGGGCACCAAGCAGCUGCAGAGCGCGAGGCCAGCGACCGUGUGGUAACACGCGCCGAGCUUGGCCCAGCGCGCGCCGCGGAGCCGAUCGGCGCAAGCACCACGAGGCGAGCGAGCAGGAGCGCGAGGACGAGGCUGAGGAAGCAGACGGCGCCGGAGGCCACCCAGGCGUAGCGGCUGGGGGCGAGGGCGACGGCGGAGGCGGCCGCGGUGCCGAUGAGGGCGGUCGACGAGAGGACGGCGCACGCCAACUCCAUGGUGGGCGCGCCAAUGGUGGAAGGAUCGCGGCGGGGAGUAGAGGAAGGUCAGUGAGCUUGGGCCUUGGGGGAGUGGGGGUCUUGCAAAUGCAAGCUGCUGAUUGCCUCCUUCACACUCGAGGCAAGUAGUGCUAUAUAGAGAGAGAGACCUGGUGGAUGUAGCAGGGAUAGAGGACGCUCUCAGAAAAAACAUAUGAAGCCAUGGAUCAUAUCUUCUCAUUAUUGAUCCCUGGCCGUCCUUGGUAGUGGUAGUUGGCUUGGUAGCUAAUGCCUAAUGGCAUGACUACCUCACACUGGCUGUCGCGUCAAGACAUCCCCUAGACGAGAAACGGCAAUGGCAGCCGUGUGAUCGCGAGCAGCCUUCCUUCCGAGGACGGCAUACAGGGCUGUGUAAAGAGGCCAGGCGCCAGCUACGACUCCUUUGCUUCUUUGCAAAAAACGGAGGCAAAAUUACGCGGCAAAAAAAGGAGAAAAGGUGGAAGAGCUAUCUCCUAAUUUCCCCGCUUCCAGAUUUCAUAACAAAUGCACAGGAAAAGGUAACGGCGCGUGCACCCGUUUCGAUCGUCACAGUGAUGCGUGAUGUGAGUUCGAACUGGUUCUGGUGUGUGGCCAUGUUCUGAUGCAUGUUCACCAUGCAGUAGCUGACGGAUGACCAUGCUCACCAGACUGUGUCACUGUGUACGCUAAGCACGUUGUCCGGCCAACUAGAUCAGAGCUAUAUGCAUGAUUGCUCCAAUAUGAGCCAUGUCUGCUUCUUUGCAAAUUAAAACGGAGAAUAAAAAGGUGGCAAGAUAUCAUAUAUGUUUUGCCGCGCUUCCAAAGGAGAUACACAGGAAUAGCUACAGCGUGCACACUUGUGUGAGAUAUAUAGAUGGCCAGAUGGGCCAGGCUCACUGGGCGGCCCGAGGCCCGGCACUAGCACGGCCUGGAAUGAGAUGAAUAGUGCCCAGCCUGGCCUGGCACGAUGCGUCGGGCUGGGCCUGGGCCACCUCCCUGGCACGCUGGGCCAGCACGAGUUCGACACGAUUUUUGGGCUAGCCCGAUGCAGCCCGACGGCGUACUGGCAAGUCCACACACACACACACACACACACACAUAUAUAUAUAUAUAUAUAUAUAUAAAAUCAUAACUCUUUACCUCCUCCCCACCCCCAACAUCCAGGCCAGCAGCCGCCGCCCCUUCCUUCCUCUCCCGCGUGAUGCCUCCACCGCCAGGGGCCGCCGCAGCCGGGAGGGGUGCCCUCUGCUGCCGGGGUCCGCCUCUGCUGGUGCCUGGCCCGGCACUAACACGAUUGUGCCCGUCGUGCUAGCGGGCCGACCCGGUCCAAUAAAAAGGCCAUCGGGCUAGCUUGGGCCAGUAGUUCGGCACGCAGUGCCGGCCCGGCCGGCACGAAGAAUCCUUUGGGCCUAUUAGUGCCUGGCCUAAUAGUAAUGGGCCAUUCCGGGCUAGUGCCGGGCGGCCCAUUUAGCCAUCUAUAGUGAGAUAUGAAGGUAGCAGGAAGCGCUGCAACUUGUCGAAUUGAUGAUUCACCAAGAAUCUUCGAAAAUGGGACGAUGAACAUGAACUUGCUGCUGCAUUUUUUUUUUGGAAAAAGGCUUGCUAAACUUUGCCUGUUGGCACUUGGCGGGUGCGUACACUGUAAGGAUUUCGCACGAGGAUCUUGCUGCAGUAAACUAGUAAAUAAUUAUGAUCGCAAUUAGGUAGCAGGUUUAUCUGAGUGGAAAUUCUCACACAGGUAGCAGCCUGAGAGAACUCAAAAAUUCAAGAAUGCCUCCACUGACAUGAAGUCAUAUACUCAUAUGCAUGGCUCAUGUGAUUUUGUUAAAAAGAGGAACACCUAAUUUCAAGUAAAAUCGACACAAUAAUGCAACUCGAAACACUUAAUUUUAGGGGGCUCACAAUAUGUAUUGCAUCAUAUCAGACCAAUGAAACACUGAAACAUUCCAUAUCUAGUACUUGAACAUGGUGGCGGAUUACAGGUGAAAUGCAAAAGACAUCAGACGAAAUAGUCCAACACGUAGACAGACAGUUGGACAUUAUUACACUGGGAGAUCACAGUGUAGGUGCAACAGAAUAGGUGGUAUUAGUCCACGACUCUACCAUACGGUGGUUUCAUACAGCAACACCAUUAAGCAAAGUGCAUCGUACUUAGUAAGAUAGCCACACAGGCAGCAGAAUUACUGUUUCAUUCUCUCAUGAUCUGGUCACUCAUCAUGCUCGCGAAGAACGAAGACAACGUAGAGGUAAGCGGCGACAGGCGGCGCGGCGCCCAGGACGCAGAGGAAGGCCACGAAGGACAGGGAGUGCUCCGCGCUGGCCUUCCAGCUGAAGCCGGCGACGAGCGACGCCGCGAGGAGGGACACGGCGAGCCCUGACACGCGGCGCGUGGUCGAACCAGCGAGCGGACAGGGCGAGGAUGACGAUGUUGACUUAGGCGAAGGCGAGGAAAGCCACCGCGUCGGCGCGGUCGUGGACGGCGCAAGCGUUGAGGCCGAUGAUGACGGUAACGCCGACGAGGGCGGUGUAGAAGGACGUGCCGUCCCAUGGACGAAGGCGAUCGAGGGUGGUCGCAGCCGGCGCCGCGACGGGGGCGCCGCCGGUGUGGUCAGGGGAGGCCUUGGGGCUCGCCAUGGGCGCUGGCUCUGGCUGAUGCUGAUCACGGUGGAGAGUGGCUGUGUCUCGCUGAGCGGUAAGUGGGGGCUGAGGAUGGGGAGCUGGGGGUUUUAUAAUCCGAGUCCACAAGACAAGAUAAGCAAUCAAGCAUACCUUUACUGGUAUUGAGGGGUGUUUGUUCCUGUCACAUCGGAUAUUUGAUACUAAUUAGAAGUAUUAAAUAUAGGUUAAUUAUAAAAUUAAUUGCACAGAUAGAGGCUAAUUCGCGAGACAAAUCUAUUAAGCCUAAUUAAUCCAUGAUUUGACAACGUGGUGCUAUAGCAACCAUUUACUAAUGAUGAAUUAAUUAGGCUUAAUAGAUUCGUCUCACGAAUCAGCCCAGGGCUUCUGCAAUUAGUUUUAUAAUUAGCUCAUGUUUAGUUUUUCUAAUUAGUAUCCGAAUAUUUGAUGUGACAAGGUUAAACUUUAGCGCAAGAUCCAAACACGCCCUAAUAAAGAGUUAAUGGCAAUGAGAGAUCCUACUAUAUCUGCUGGUGGUUUCUGGUUGUUCUAGAUUCUACCAUAUCUUUAUAGUCUACUCCGUAGUAUAGUAAAGAGGAAGUUGGUUGUCACAACUCACAAAGGCUGUCAUCUUUGCCUUGGUUUUCACAGUUUUAUGUAAAAUUGAUUUUUACACUGUAAACUAACUGCAAAGGAUAAUGUACGGAGCAUGAUUUAUCACUGCACAUGUCAUUAUUCUUGUGGCUUGUGAUAUUGAUAAGGGUGGGAUAUGGAUUUUCUACAAUUGUUUUUUUAUAAUAAUGAAUUAAUGAGAAGUAUUUAUAAUUUUUUUGAACUAAUGAACUCAUUUCAACACAAUGUGAUGAAAAAGAUAUGUGUUAGUCUAGUGUGUGAUGAAAAGAUUAUUGCCACAAGUCACUGUCAAAACUUAGAAAAUUAAAUUCCCCCAAUUCAAACUUCACUUGGAUUUGUGUAACUGUAUCUAAAAUAUAUGUGUUUGAAUGGUGAAUUUAAUGUUACAUUUUUUUAAAAAAAAAAAGGUAAGUUGAUAUGGCACAUUGAGUCGGCGACGUGCUCCAUGCCGUAAGCUAACGAGAAACAGGAGCAGGAGGCCAGGAGGGCUUGAUAUAGGAUUGCUCCGAUUCUUUGCAAUGCAGCUAGGCCCGUGCGAGUGCUCACGUGGUUGCACUCAGUCACUCACAGACAAUGGGGUGAAAAAAUGAAAACCGGCUGCAAGUAAACAGUUAAAAAAAGAAGAUUGCAAGUAAACUCAGAUAGUUUUUCUGACUUCUCAAAGAAGAAGAAAAAAAACAGUCCUACUGCCAUGUGGGCUGCUAUGCACUAUAGCUCUCUUCUAUGAUCUUUGUUUAUGCAAUUUUUUAUUUUUAUAUUUAUUUACGAUUUUGCAGAAAUAAAUAGUCGAAUGAAAAAUUUGCAGAAAUAGACCUAUGCUGCCGUAUGAAACGGCGGUAAAGGUGCAUCGCCGGUUGAAACGGCAGUAAGGGGUGGUACCGCCGGGUGAAACGGUGGUACCUUCCCGCAUACCGCCCCCCCCCCCUCCCCCACCCCAAAUCUGGCGGCACAGGAUGCAGUGGCAUGGGGUCAAGGCUGUUCCGCCACGUGAUUUGGUGGAACUGGCGUGUUGCCGUUUGAAUUGGCGGAAGCAGGCCACUUCCGCCAAAUGAGCCGGUGGGGCUUCCCCUUAUAAAAGGAGGUACGUGGCCGCCCCGGGCUCUCGCCCAGUUCAUUUCCACGCACUCAGCCAGAGCUAGAGCCGAGCCAGGCAGACCGAGAGAAGAGUAAGGGAGGGAGGGAGAGGAGAAGGAAGGGAGGGAGAAGGGAAAGAAAGAAAGAAAGAAAGAAAGAAAGAAAGAAAGAAAGAAAGGAGGGAAGGAAGGAAGGGAGCGGAGAUUGAAGGUUCGUUAGUCGUUUCAUUAGAGGUAUUUUUUCUAAUCCCCUAGUUUAGUUAGUGUAGUGGAUAGAUGUAGUAGUAGAUAGAUCUAGUAGUUAGUUUAGUGGAUCUGAGAUAUAGAAUAAUGUAGGUCAGUUAGUGUAGUGGAUUUUAGACAUAGGAAAAUGUAGCUUAGUUAGAUUAGUGAAUUUAGCUUAGGUAUUUAGUUGAUAGUAAAAUUAGUUUGUUGAUUUAUGCAGAUUAAGUUUAGAUGAAUUUUAUUUGCAAUGGCAGGAUUAUAUUAUGUAUAGGUAUUCAAGAUGUAGUUGUUUAUGGGGUAAUUGGAGUAUUAGAUUUAGUUUUGUUCUUGUCGCUGUAUUGACCCGCUGUUUAGGGUUACAUUGAUGUAGUAAUAUUUUGUAAUGGCCUAUCAUAGUAUCAUGUAUAUUGAUCGGGUAAAAUGAAAUUAAUUAUUUCGUAAGAUUGGACCGUAUAUUGAAAUGUAGGUGUCGUUCGAGUUAACUAAUUUAAGUUAUUGAGAGUAACUUGCACUGUUCAUGUCGUGUGUAUUGGUAGACAUAUCGGAAAGUUUAUAUUUCCAAGUGUUCUAUGGUCCGAGGGAGGUUAGAUAUGGUCCAAAAGGGGUAGAUUUGAGUGGAUUUCAGUCUUUCUGCAAGUAUUUACCAAGAGCAAUAGAGAGGACUUGGGGAGGCAUAUGCAGGUGGCUUUGUAAGGAUUUCGGUCUUGAUAGAGAUCAAGUGGAUGUGUUUGUUAGGGCUGUAGUAAAAUGACAGCCUGACAUAAACUUUUAGGAGCUGAUCCCGCUGGAAGGAACCCAAAAUUACCGAACUUAUAUAAAUAGUUGCACAAAGCGUGGUUUACCGCUCAUAUUGUAUGUUCAAGUGUUCACGAAGCCUUGGUCUAACAGUCAGAUGGAAGAAGAUGUGGGAGAUGCUGAAGUUGAAGUCGAGGAAGGUGUAGAGUACUAAUGGGCAAAAUGAAAAAGUUUAUGAAGAUGGAGCAGAAGAAGGAGACGCAGAGAAGAGUUACAUAUUGCGAUAUUAUACAAAAUUACAUGAAAAAUAACUAAAAAAAAUUAAAACAGAGUUACAACCAGUUCAAACGGCUAUAACUCUGCUAUAGCUGUUUGAACCGGCUAUAGCAUCCUAAACCCCGCUAAACCCAACUAAACCUGGCUAAACCAGGCAGUGGGAGCUUGCCGCCACUUGAAAUGGCGGGAGACCACCUACCGCCGUACGAAACGGCUAAAGCAAGCUUCCGCCGCUUCGUACGGCGAAAAAUGCCUAUGCAGCGCUCCAAGCCUCCUACCGCCAAUCCAACCGGUGGAAGCGGAUCUACCACCAUUUCGUACGACGCCAUAGGUCUAUUUCUGCAAAAUUGUAAAAAGAAUAUCAAAUAAAAAAUGUUUAUUUGUGCUUCUAGGCCCAUCUUCUCUUCUCAGGACGUGAUUCCGAGUUUCUGGCCCACUAGGCCGUUUAGAGCCUCCGUGACACCAUUGGUCAACUCAGAAAACCUAUCCAUCUUCCGGAAGGUAGGAAGAGAUUGAGUCUUCUGGUGUUUGAGAUUCGUGCAGUCCCUGUGGAUCGCACGAUCUCCUUCGUCCUCUCACGAUAUCCUUGUCCUCCCUUCCCCUCAUCUCACAUCGCCGCCUGGGGAGGUUGGGGAUGGAGCAGCUCGCCGGAGGGGUGGGAGGUGAGCGGGGGCGCAUGUUGAUGCUCAUUAUUGAUACAUUUUUAGUGCCAUUUGAAUUGUGUUUUCAUACAUAUUCUUAUUCUAACCCACCACUUGACACCUGAAAUAACCUUAUAUUCGCAUGUAUGUUAUGUUUUGGACCAUAUUGCUCAAUCAUAGGAAAUACGACAUAAAUGAAGGGUUUUUCUACAAGUUGGAUUUGGGCCCGAACUUUGCUGGACCAAUUCACCGUCCAAAUGAGUCCACAUUCGAUGAACCAUCAUUCCAGAUGACUUAGAAGUGAAGUAUGUGGUGAUUUGGCAAGACUUAGAAGUGAAGUAUGUGGUGAUUUGGCAAGUCAAUCUCAUGGUCAAGCUAAGGGAAACCCAAGAUUGGAAGCUCAGAAGGCCCGCAUAAGUAGCAGAUCUUGCACAAGGUAUAUCUCCCUCGUCCGGACUCCGAAUGGGGCGAAUUUAGUGUCUAAAUUGCAUGGCUCAAAAAGAUCUACAACUUUUGUGUAGAAAGUUUUGGCGUUUGAGGCCGGGAGGGUAGAGAACUCGCCUAGACCGAUCGGCCCAGCGGGCCCGAGCUGAUUAGCCUAGCUCGUUUCUAGCCCCGAUCGACGUGAUCUUUGCCCCACGGUACCUCUAGACUAUAAAUAUUCCUAAUUUUCAUCAGCAUAUGGAAUCCAUCUACCAGAACUCGACGAAACCUAGGGUAUUCACCAAAGGGAGUUGACAGCCGCCGCAAGUCUUUAGAGUUGUCUAAAAGAUGGCUUAGGCUAGACUAGCCGCCAUGGCCUCCCUGCGCGGUUGUGCUAUGGUGGAGAUCAGGAGCAGGAGCAGAUCAUCGAUGGUAUGAACUCGGAGGUGAUGAUCUAAAUACAUCUAUUAUAUAAUCAAUGUUCUUCAUGCCAUCCAAUCUGUUAGCAACUCAUUGCCUCCUUCUAUGCUUUCUGCCUAUCGUGGAUAUGCUUGUUCCUAGUCUAGUUCCGGAUUAGAGUAUCUAGAAUGAUUGGUGUAAUCAUGGUGAUUAGAUCUAGUAUGUCGAUCCUUCAUGAUAGUUAGACAUGUUCACCUAUGUUCGUACUCUUAAACUGCCUGCGUGUAGGGUGGGGAUUUUCGGGAGGUUGACCGGAUGUAGUAGUUUAAAAAUUGUUUUGGAUGAGAUGCAUGAUUUGCUUGCUUAUUAGCCAGAUCUACAACUAGAAGAUGAUAGGUCCUUGUUACCCAUGGUUAUGCUAUCUCAUAUGAAUAUGUGGAUGUGAUCAAUCUAUGCUCUAUCAUUCAUAUAUAUUAGGUUUACCCUUCUUAUGCAAUCCAUGCUUCAUGUUAGGAUUAGAUCCGUUGAGUUAGAUAGAAAACUCUAGUUAGUUCCUGCCGAUCCACGGAUUGAUUAGCUUUGGACGAAUACUCUAAGGAAAAAGCUACGAUGAUUUAUGCUCUUGCGGUUCACAAAUUGGUGUGCUAACUGCUGUAGGCUCGACGGCGAGGUCACCGCCGGCUGCGGGCGGUGGUCGAGGCCGGCGGACUUAGGGUUAAGGUUAGGGUUAGGGGUUCGGGUUUCGAGAGUUCUAAUAGCCGCUAGCCUUAGAAGAGGAGGAGGUUGGCGGCGGCGGCAGGCCCGGCGGUGGUGGCGGUUUGGCCGGCAUGGGAGCGCCACUGGCUGGGCGGGGCUAGACAACCAACGAGCGGUUGCCGUUAGAAAAGGUGGGGUGGAGGAUGGUAGUGGAUGGUGGGCGAGCGGCAUGGCAGCUGCCGGCCGGGGUGGUGGAGGACGCGGCGAGGGGGGGGUUCGCCGUGGAAGGAAGGGAGAGGAGAUUAACGGGCGGGAGGUGGGCUGAAAGUUUCAUGUUACACAAGAUUGGCGCGCCUGCAAUAGAGCUGCAGAAGGCGACGCCAAACAAUACGAAUGUACAGGCUCGAAUACUAGAGAAUUCAGAAUUUUUAGCAGGAAAGGCAAAUUAUGUUGUCCCGGCUAUCUACAGAAUCCCAUCAAGUUUGCAGACCAAGAGAAAUUUGGACUGAUAUUUUCUCAUGCCAAUGAUAACAGAGAUCGAUCCUGUUACUGCAAGUUCAAGUAACUCAAGUGUUAAGGUCAGAAGUAAUGCAUUACAAGAAAACAAAUAAGAGAGGGCAAUUGUGCUAUACAGCAAGGCAAGAAUACAGUACUAAUUGAUCCUAGAAAGUUCGUGUAAGAAUUAUCUGUAGUGAUGGAACCAGCCACAAACUUUUGCCGCUCGAGAUAAUACCAGCCCAUUACACACCACAAACCUUGUCCAGAAAGGAAAAAGAAAAUGGUCUCACUUGUCGUCACAUCAUUUGCCAGAGGAGAGGUAGUUUACAAUAUGAUUUCUCAUGGACUAAAUAAAAUUAGCUCGAGAAUGACCCUAGUAUAUGUAUGUCAUAUAUGUAUAGUGAUGGAACCAAUCACAAACUUGACACAGACGAGAUCAUUACAGCUCAUUACACACACCCAAGCCUUCUCCAAAAAGGAAAACAAAAAAGAAAAACUCAGAAAAUCCGCGUCAGUAAGCUACAG
rnacentral:lncRNA from 1 species